rnacentral:tRNA from 1 species
GUGGGUGUGGCUCAGCUGGUUAGAGCACUGGGUUGUGGCCCCAGAGGUCAAGGGUUCGAGUCCCUUCACUCACCCCA